GAAAAAUCAGACACUUCACUCUCAAAUAUUAAUGUUAGACAUCAUUUUGUAAGAGAUCAAUCAUGUUGGAAAGGAAAUUGCAUAAUUAAGAAUUUGUCUUCAUAUAAUCAACUCACAAAUAUUUUUACCAAACCUAUCCUUGAAGAAAAUAUCUCUUUCAUAAGUACUGAGUUAGGAAUAUUAAAUCAAUCAUGCAUAGAUAAAUAUAUGCUAAAUGCCUCAUCUCUUUCUUCUUCUUCCCUCUCUAUAUUUGAUGUACAUGGUCUAUGUGUUUGUUGUGUUUAUUUUUCUGUCCUUUUGAUAAUGUCAAAUGGGAAGAAAUAUAUUCUCAAAAAGAAUACAGUAUAUUCU